rnacentral:rRNA from 1 species
CCUACGGGAGGCAGCAGUAGGGAAUAUUGGUCAAUGGGCGAAAGCCUGAACCAGCCAUGCCGCGUGCAGGAUGAAGGCCCUCAGGGUUGUAAACUGCUUUUAUAUGGAAAUAAAAAGCCCUUGCGAGGGUUAUUGAAGGUACCAUAAGAAUAAGCACCGGCUAACUCCGUGCCAGCAGCCGCGGUAAUACGGAGGGUGCAAGCGUUAUCCGGAUUUACUGGGUUUAAAGGGUGCGUAGGCGGCUUUUUAAGUCAGUGGUGAAAGCCUAGUGCUCAACACUAGAAUUGCCAUUGAAACUAAAAGGCUUGAGUCAAGGAGAGGUAAGCAGAAUUUAUGGUGUAGCAGUGAAAUGCUUAGAUACCAUAAGGAAUACCGACAGCGAAGGCAGCUUACUGGCCUUGCACUGACGCUGAGGCACGAAAGCGUGGGGAGCAAACAGG